UCCGAGUUGACCCCGGCAGUCUCCUAUGAGUUCCCACCAUGACGUGCUGGCAACAUAGAACGAGGGUUGCGCUCGUUGCGGGACUUAACCCAACAUCUCACGACACGAGCCGACGACAGACAUGCACCACCUGUGAUGGUGUCCCGAAGGAAAGGUGUGUUUCCACACCGGUCACCAACAUGUCAAGCCUAGGUAAGGUUCUUCGCGUUGCAUCGAAUUAAGCAACAUGCUCCGCCGCUUGUGCGGGCCCCCGUCAAUUCCUUUGAGUUUUAGCCUUGCGGCCGUACUCCCCAGGCGGGGCGCUUAAUGCGUUAGCUGCGGCACGGAACUCGUGGAAUGAGCCCCACACCUAGCGCCCAACGUUUACGGCGUGGACUAC
rnacentral:misc_RNA from 1 species